GGAGGUGUGGCAGAACGGCAAUGCACUGGUUUCGAAAACCAGCGCCCUAACGGGCUUGGAGGUUCGAGUCCUCCCACCUCCG
rnacentral:tRNA from 1 species